rnacentral:rRNA from 1 species
GCUAUCUGCAGUCGAGGGGCAGCGCAGUGUAGCAAUACAUGGGCGGCGACCGGCAAACCGGUUGCGGAACACGUACGCAACCUUCCUUCAAAUGGGGGAUAGCCCACCGAAAGGUGGAUUAAUACCCCGUAACAUUUUCUGGUGGCAUCACUGGAUUAUUAUAGCUCCGGCGUUUGAAGAUGGGCGUGCGCCUGAUUAGGUAGUUGGCGGGGUAAUGGCCCACCAAGCCUACGAUCAGUAACUGGUGUGAGAGCACGACCAGUCACACGGGCACUGAGACACGGGCCCGACUCCUACGGGAGGCAGCAGUAAGGAAUAUUGGUCAAUGGACGCAAGUCUGAACCAGCCAUGCCGCGUGGAGGAUGAAGGUCCUCUGGAUUGUAAACCUCUUUUAUCUGGGAAGAAACCCGACUUUUCUAAGGCGGUUGACGGUACCAGAUGAAUAAGCACCGGCUAACUCCGUGCCAGCAGCCGCGGUAAUACGGAGGGUGCAAGCGUUAUCCGGAUUCACUGGGUUUAAAGGGUGCGUAGGUGGGCUGGUAAGUCCGUGGUGAAAUCUCCGAGCUUAACUCGGAAACUGCCGUGGAUACUAUUAGUCUUGAAUCUCGUGGAGGUAAGCGGAAUAUGUCAUGUAGCGGUGAAAUGCUUAGAUAUGACAUAGAACACCGAUAGCGAAGGCAGCUUGCUACACGAGUAUUGACACUGAGGCACGAAAGCGUGGGGAUCAAACAGGAUUAGAUACCCUGGUAGUCCACGCCCUAAACGAUGGAUACUCGACAUACGCGAUACACAGUGUGUGUCUGAGCGAAAGCAUUAAGUAUCCCACCUGGGAAGUACGACCGCAAGGUUGA